rnacentral:rRNA from 1 species
UACGUAGGGGGCUAGCGUUGUCCGGAAUCAUUGGGCGUAAAGGGUGCGUAGGUGGCGCGGUAAGUCGGGUGUGAAAUUUCGGAGCUUAACUCCGAAACUGCAUUCGAUACUGCCGUGCUUGAGGACUGGAGAGGAGACUGGAAUUUACGGUGUAGCAGUGAAAUGCGUAGAGAUCGUAAGGAAGACCAGUGGCGAAGGCGGGUCUCUGGACAGUUCCUGACACUGAGGCACGAAGGCCAGGGGAGCAAACGGG